rnacentral:rRNA from 1 species
AUUGAACGCUGGCGGCAGGCCUAACACAUGCAAGUCGAGCGGAUGAAGGGAGCUUGCUCCUGGAUUCAGCGGCGGACGGGUGAGUAAUGCCUAGGAAUCUGCCUGGUAGUGGGGGAUAACGUCCGGAAACGGGCGCUAAUACCGCAUACGUCCUGAGGGAGAAAGUGGGGGAUCCUCGGACCUCACGCUAUCAGAUGAGCCUAGGUCGGAUUAGCUAGUUGGUGGGGUAAAGGUCUACCAAGGCGACGAUCCGUAACUGGUCUGAGAGGAUGAUCAGUCACACUGGAACUGAGACACGGUCCAGACUCCUACGGGAGGCAGCAGUGGGGAAUAUUGGACAAUGGGCGAAAGCCUGAUCCAGCCAUGCCGCGUGUGUGAAGAAGGUCUUCGGAUUGUAAAGCACUUUAAGUUGGGAGGAAGGGCAGUAAGUUAAUACCUUGCUGUUUUGACGUUACCAACAGAAUAAGCACCGGCUAACUUCGUG